GACAGAGGGGGCAAGCGUUGCCCGGAAUUACUGGGCGUAAAGCGUGCGCAGGCGGCUUUGCAAGUCAGAUGUGAAAUCCCCGGGCUCAACCUGGGAACUGCAUUUGUGACUGCAAGGCUGGAGUACGGCAGAGGGGGAUGGAAUUCCGCGUGUAGCAGUGAAAUGCGUAGAUAUGCGGAGGAACACCGAUGGCGAAGGCAAUCCCCUGGGCCUGUACUGACGCUCAUGCACGAAAGCGUGGGGAGCAAACAGG
rnacentral:rRNA from 1 species